UACGUAGGGGGGCAAGCGUUGUCCGGAUUUAUUGGGCGUAAAGAGCGUGUAGGCGGCCAAGCAGGUCCGCUGUGAAAACUCGAGGCUCAACCUCGAGACGUGGUGGAACCGGACGUGUCGUAGAGUCCGGAAGAGGAGAGUGGAAUUCCUGGUGUAGCGGUGAAAUGCGCAGAUAUCAGGAAGAACACCUAUGGCGAAGGCAGCUCUCUGGGACGGUACUGACGCUGAGACGCGAAAGCGUGGGGAGCGAACAGG
rnacentral:rRNA from 1 species